rnacentral:rRNA from 1 species
UCGAACGGUAACAGGCCGCUGGGAUCCCUUCGGGGUGACCUUGGCGCUGACGAGUGGCGGACGGGUGAGUAAUACUUAGGAAUCUGCCCAGUAGUGGGGGACAACUCGAGGAAACUCGAGCUAAUACCGCAUACGCCCUACGGGGGAAAGCGGGGGAUCUUCGGACCUCGCGCUAUUGGAUGAGCCUAAGUCGGAUUAGCUUGUUGGUGGGGUAAAGGCCUACCAAGGCGACGAUCCGUAGCUGGUCUGAGAGGACGAUCAGCCACACUGGGACUGAGACACGGCCCAGACUCCUACGAGAGGCAGCAGUGGGGAAUAUUGGACAAUGGGCGCAAGCCUGAUCCAGCAAUGCCGCGUGUGUGAAGAAGGCCUGCGGGUUGUAAAGCACUUUCAGUAGAGAAGAAAAGCCUACGGUUAAUACCCGUGAGUCUUGACGUAACCUACAGAAGAAGCACCGGCUAACUCCGUGCCAGCAGCCGCGGUAAUACGGAGGGUGCAAGCGUUAAUCGGAAUUACUGGGCGUAAAGCGCGCGUAGGCGGUUUAGUCAGUCGGAUGUGAAAGCCCAGGGCUCAACCUUGGAAUUGCAUUCGAUACUGCUUGACUAGAGUAUGGUA